rnacentral:rRNA from 1 species
UACGUAGGGUGCAAGCGUUGUCCGGAAUUAUUGGGCGUAAAGAGCUCGUAGGCGGUUUGUCGCGUCGAAUGUGAAAACCCGGGGCUCAACCCCGGGCCUGCAUUCGAUACGGGCAGACUAGAGUUCGGUAGGGGAGUCUGGAAUUCCUGGUGUAGCGGUGAAAUGCGCAGAUAUCAGGAGGAACACCGGUGGCGAAGGCGGCUACCUGGACCGGUUCUGACGCUGAGGCGCGAAAGCGUGGGUAGCAAACAGG